rnacentral:rRNA from 1 species
ACGUAGGGGGCUAGCGUUGUCCGGAAUCAUUGGGCGUAAAGCGCGUGUAGGCGGCCCGGUAAGUCCGCUGUGAAAGUCGGGGGCUCAACCCUCGGAUGCCGGUGGAUACUGUCGGGCUAGAGUGCGGAAGAGGCGAGUGGAAUUCCUGGUGUAGCGGUGAAAUGCGCAGAUAUACGGAGGAACACCAGAGGCGAAGGCGGAUCGCUGGGCCAACACUGACGCUGAGACGCGAAAGCUAGGGGAGCAAACGGGA